UAGACAAAUCAUUUUUAAACUAAGUAAAUCCUAGAUUCUUUCCUCUUCCAGGCCAUUUCCGUCUGCAAAAUGAAGCUCUUGGCCAUUGCUGUCAUCUUGUGCCUCGCUGUGCUGUACACUCAGGCUUUACCAGCCGAAAUGCCAUCUUCACCGCUGUUGCUCAGUCGGGUAGCUAGGUCACCUCACUUCCCUCGAGACUGUACCCCGUGUGCUUGUAAAACUACCUUCACACAAAUUACCAUAAUCGAACAUGAAGUAAGGCCAACAUCCACAAGGUUCGGCGGCAGCUCCCGGUGCUGCCCAUGUCCUCCACCUCCCUUCUGAUAUCCUUGUUUCUCAUGGACCGAUCACGCCAAUCUUCUGACUAUGUUCUAGACGGAAAAUCAGAAAAUUUGAGAAAAAAAAAA